rnacentral:rRNA from 1 species
ACUCCUACGGGAGGCAGCAGUGGGGAAUUUUGGACAAUGGGCGAAAGCCUGAUCCAGCCAUGCCGCGUGCAGGAUGAAGGCCUUCGGGUUGUAAACUGCUUUUGUACGGAACGAAACGGCCUUUUCUAAUAAAGAGGGCUAAUGACGGUACCGUAAGAAUAAGCACCGGCUAACUACGUGCCAGCAGCCGCGGUAAUACGUAGGGUGCAAGCGUUAAUCGGAAUUACUGGGCGUAAAGCGUGCGCAGGCGGUUAUGUAAGACAGUUGUGAAAUCCCCGGGCUCAACCUGGGAACUGCAUCUGUGACUGCAUAGCUAGGGUACGGUAGAGGGGGAUGGAAUUCCGCGUGUAGCAGUGAAAUGCGUAGAUAUGCGGAGGAACACCGAUGGCGAAGGCAAUCCCCUGGACCUGUACUGACGCUCAUGCACGAAAGCGUGGGGAGCAAACAGGAUUAGAAACCCUAGUAGUCCCAUG